rnacentral:rRNA from 1 species
CAAAGGAAUUGACGGGGCCGCACAAGCGGUGGAGCAUGUGGUUUAAUUCGACGCAACGCGAAGAACCUUACCAGGGCUUGACAUCCCCUGACCGCGUAUGAAAGUACGUUUUCACCCUCGGGUGACAGGGAGACAGGUGGUGCAUGGUUGUCGUCAGCUCGUGUCGUGAGAUGUUGGGUUAAGUCCCGCAACGAGCGCAACCCCUACGUUUAGUUGCUAACGCGUGAAGGCGAGCACUCUAGACGAACUGCCGUUGACAAAACGGAGGAAGGUGGGGAUGACGUCAAAUCAUCAUGCCCCUUAUGUUCUGGGCUACACACGUGCUACAAUGGCCGGUACAGACGGACGCAAAGCCGCGAGGUGGAGCAAAUCCUAAAAAGCCGCUCUCAGUUCGGAUUGCAGGCUGCAACUCGCCUGCAUGAAGCCGGAAUCGCUAGUAAUCGCGGAUCAGCAUGCCGCGGUCGAAUACGUUCCCGGGCCUU